ensembl:lncRNA
CACCAUGGACAUCACCAACCAUAUCUACACCGAUGCCCUGCUCAACCACAAUCUCCUAAAUAUGAGCUAUUGUCCACACAAGUUACCGGCGUUCUCUACUCCAUCUACGGCUGCCCCUCUUGUUAACACACACACGUUUUAUCAAGGAGUAUCAGCGAUGACCUUCAGUAAUCAAACUGGAACCGUGCUUGUAAAGGCUACACUCGUGUUCCAGUCAAACCAAAUCGACGCUGAGGUGAUCAAAGCCCUGUUUAUGAAUGCGCUUGCUGACAACAGUGUAAUAAAUGGCCUUGUAUUCAACCCUAAAU